rnacentral:rRNA from 1 species
UACAGCGGGUGCGAGCGUUAAUCGGAAUUACUGGGCGUAAAGCGUGCGUAGACGGCUAUCUAAGUCGGGUGUGAAAGCCCCGGGCUCAACCUGGGAAUUGCAUUCGAGACUGAAUAGCUAGGGUACGGUAGAGGGAAGUGGAAUUUCCGGUGUAGCGGUGAAAUGCGUAGAUAUCGGAAGGAACAUCAGUGGCGAAAGCGACUUCCUGGACCAGUACCGACGUUCAGGCACGAAAGCGUGGGGAGCAAACAGG